rnacentral:lncRNA from 1 species
UUUUUGUGCAAAUUUGAAAUUUAAAAUUUCAAUUGAAAUUUAAAUUUAAAUUUGAAAUGUUUAGAAAUAAAUUUUAGUAAAAAUAAAUUAUUAUAUCCUAGGAUCCAAAAAAAUUUUGCUAAACAACUUACAAAAUCAUUUCAAAAAAAUUUCUUUCCAUCAAAAUUCUGUCAAGCAUUCUACAAUUUUUAACCAAGAUAAAUUUUUCAAACUAAAAUUAAUUAUGUAGAAAUCACUUUUGAGAAUUUAGUCCAAACGGGCCCUAAGUCACC